rnacentral:rRNA from 1 species
GAUGAACGCUGGCGGCGUGCUUAACACAUGCAAGUCGAACGGAAAGGCCCAAGCUUGCUUGGGUACUCGAGUGGCGAACGGGUGAGUAACACGUGGGUGAUCUGCCCUGCACUUCGGGAUAAGCCUGGGAAACUGGGUCUAAUACCGGAUAGGACCACAUUUUGGAUGGUGUGGUGGAAAGUUUUUCGGUGUGGGAUGAGCUCGCGGCCUAUCAGCUUGUUGGUGGGGUAAUGGCCUACCAAGGCGUCGACGGGUAGCCGGCCUGAGAGGGUGUACGGCCACAUUGGGACUGAGAUACGGCCCAGACUCCUACGGGAGGCAGCAGUAGGGAAUGUUGCAGAAUGGGCGCAAGCCUGAUGCAGCGACGCCGCGUGGGGGAUGACGGCCUUCGGGUUGUAAACUCCUUUCGCUAGGGACGAAGCGCAAGUGACGGUACCUGGAGAAGAAGCACCGGCUAACUACGUG